GCCUGGCCAUCCUCAGACCCCAGAAGCCUGCUAAGGAGUAGAAUUACCUGCAAAAGGAUUUGAAGAGAGAAGCCCCUUCCCAACCCAAGAAGCUGAGCUGUGAGAAUUUCAUUCAGAGUGUUUCCUACUAUUUGAUUCUUCCUUCCUCCCUGUCUUGUAUUGUUUUUGUUCUAAACAGUAGCUCCACAAGCCAUGAACCAGAACUUGGGAUCCAUUCUAGAUUUUCCCUGCUUCCCCACAUCAAUGUCAACUCUUAGUUCCUGACAUUGUACAUGAUGUCUAGCUGUUCACCUGUCUCAACCACCUGCACUACUAGGGUUUCUUUAUGCCAUGUCACCACACUGGCAGGGGCUUUCUAACCAGCCCUGUCUCCAGUGUCACAAAGUAUUUCUUCCCAACUGCUUCCUCAGCAAACUUUCUGAAACCAAACUGCUCAGCUUCUUCUUGAGGAAGAAGGUGUCCCAUUCCUACUCCAUGAUCAAGUCCAAGCUCUUCAGUGCAGUCUUCCAAAGUGCAGCACACUUCUGGGACAUCACUGCAACAAAUUCUGUGUACUCUUCCUACAUCCUGCAAACACCCAAGACUGUGCAGUCACAGCACUUGCCAAAUGGCCCUGCUCUGUGACUAUGGAGCCUGGAUGGAAAAUGAGUAGGUCCGCUUCUAUGCUCUUCCACUUGCUUCUCUCCCUGCUCAGCUUACCUCUACCCCACCCCAUCCCUACCUCCAACAGUCCUCCCCUCUUGGAGACUAGGGCGCCUUUGAAAACCUUCCCAUCCUGCUCAAACCAACACGAUCUUUUCUGCCCCUUCAUACCCAGCAAAGUAUUGUAAUUAUUGCUCUGAAUUGUAAAUAUGUACUCCCCUGAACAUAGAGUUUGUGCUUGAUAUCUAUACAUCCUUAUGCCUAGCAUAGCAUUUGGCAUAUAAGAAGUGUUAUGGAUUAAAUUGUGUACCCCCCAUAAUUUUUAGAUUGUGUGACCACAUUUGGACAAUAGACCUGUAGGGAGGUACUUAAGAUAAAGUAAGAUCAUAAGGAUGGGGCCUUAAUUAGGGGGACUAGUGACUCCUUAAUUCAGUAGGACACUAGUAACCUUAUAAGAAGAGGAAUAAAUGCUAGAUCUCUUGAUCUCUGUCUCUGUUUUUCUACACACACACACACACACACACGGAAGAGGAGGCUCACAGAGGCCAUGUGAGGACACAGCAAGAAGACCUCACCAGAAACCAACCCUGCCAGCAUAUUGACCUUGGACUUCCA
rnacentral:lncRNA from 1 species